rnacentral:tRNA from 1 species
GCCGAGGUGGUGGAACGGCAGACACACAGGUCUCAGAAGCCUGUAGUCGCAAGACUGUGCGAGUUCAAAUCUCGUCCUCGGCA